rnacentral:rRNA from 1 species
UAACGGCGAGUGAAGCGGGAAGAGCUCAAAUUUAAAAUCUGGCAGGCUACGCUUGUCCGAAUUGUAAUCUCGAGAAGUGUUUUCCGCGUUGGCCUGUGUACAAGUCCCUUGGAACAGGGCGUCAUAGAGGGUGAGAAUCCCGUCCUUGACACAGACACCCAAUGCUUUGUGAUACACUCUCAAUGAGUCGAGUUGUUUGGGAAUGCAGCUCAAAAUGGGUGGUAAAUUCCAUCUAAAGCUAAAUACUGGCGAGAGACCGAUAGCGAACAAGUACCGUGAGGGAAAGAUGAAAAGCACUUUGGAAAGAGAGUCAAACAGUACGUGAAAUUGUUGAAAGGGAAACGAUUGAAGUCAGUCGUGCCUGCCUAGUCUCAGCCUUUUGGUGUACUACUAGGUCGGCAGGUCAGCAUCAGUUUGGGAGGAUUAACAAGGGAGCUAGGAAUGUGGCAACCUCGGUUGUGUUAUAGCCUAGUUUCGCAUUGAUCUUGCUGGACUGAGGAACGCAGUGCGCCCGCAAGGGUUGGUCUUCGGACACAUUCGCACUUAGGAUGCCUGGCCWUAAUGGCUUUUAAACG